GUGAGAAACCGCCAUUUUCUUUGCGCUGUCUUUGAGGGGAAGCGAGUGAAAUUCUGUGUGAGACGUAAGUUAUUUAGUGUGUUUUUAACAAUUUUCAUAAGAAAUAACACACUUAGUUUACUUAGUAUAAUAUACACGCGCUUUUUUUUCUGUUUCUCCGCCUGAUGGCCGACUUGUUGCUCCGCCUCACGCUGACCUGUGCUCGCCUUAUGGCUGAACUGUUGCUCCGAGUCCGCCUGACGAGCCACCUGUUUCUCCGGAUCUGUUUCUCCGCCUAACGGCGACGUGUUUCUCCGGACCUGUUUCUCCGGACCUGUUUCUCCGGACCUGUUUCUCCGCCUAACGCCCGAGCUGUUGCUCCGCCUAACUCCUGACCUGUGCUCGCCUCACGCCCGACAUGUUGCUCCACCUCACGCCCAGCCUGUUGAUCGGUGGACGGGUAAGCGCGCAUGGCAUCGGAAGGAGCUCGAAAAGUAUAAGGUGAUGACAGUAAGUAACGUUACUGUGAUUUGUGAUCUUUCUGGGGUGUUAACUGUAAAGCAAUGGAUAAUUGCGUGAAAAUUAAACUAAAAGAAUGCAAUCUUGAGGAGUUAAUCCCCACAUUUGAAGCACAGGAGCGAACCUUUCCUCGUUUUUAGGUCAAUUUGAAUACAAUUCAGAGGGGUGGCAUGGGGGCGCAGUGGGUAGUGCUGUCGCAUCACAGCAAGAUGGUCGCUGGUUUGAGCCUUGGAUGGGUUUCCCCUCCACAGUCCAAUGACAUGCGGUGUAGCUGAAUUGGAUUGGGACCAAUAUUGCUGAGUAUCUUCAUCCAUUGAAUUCAAGAAUCUAUUGAGUUUCCUCAUGUUCUCAUCCUUGGAGACCACCACUUCUUUCAAGCCUUUGCUCACGUGCUGUGCUAUUUAUUAUUGCAAAGUACAUUACUUGCCAAAGUGGACGUUUGCUAUAAAGCAUUCUACAUCUUUGGUGUGAACUACCCCAAGCAGUGUUCCCUGGUGUGGCAGACUGUGGUUUAUGGACAUCCUGGGGAGGAGACACUAGCAGUAAGGGUUCUGCUAGCAUUAAUUUUUGCUGACAAACAGUAAUAAUUAAUACUGUGACCUCACUGCUUCCUUGGAUUCUGUGUUCUUUAACUUGUACUUUG
ensembl:processed_transcript